AAAUUAAGACAUAAACUUUUCACAUCACACCGACCGUCCCUAGAGCAAGUGGCAAAGGACUUGGAGGUUGGUAUAUAAGGUCCCAAGUUCUAAUCCUAUUUGAUUCAGAUUUUCAGCUAAAUUUUUUUCUAAAUAAAAUAAACGAAGCGGGUGGCGUGAUACCUAUCCCUCUCAAAAAAAAAACUUUUCACAUCAUCAUCAACCGUUUCUAACGCAAGGGACAAAGAAUUUGAUGAUUGAUACUCAAGAUUUAAAAUUUACAGUUAGUUCAUGUUUUUAACUUAAUUUGUUUUUUUUAAAUAAAUAAAAUAAAUAACAUGUUAUCUUUGUCUCGCUCUUUUUAUAGUUAAAAAAAAAAAAACUUUCUAUGUCAUC
rnacentral:lncRNA from 1 species